UGCGUAGGCGGUUAUUUAAGUAGGAUGUGAAAUCUCCCGGCUCAACCGGGGAACUGCGUUCUAAACUGGAUAACUUGAGUGAGAUAGAGGUGUGCGGAACUUCCGGUGGAGCGGUGAAAUGUGUUGAUAUCGGAGGGAACACCGUUGGCGAAAGCGGCACACUGGGUCUUAACUGACGCUGAGGCACGAAAGCCAGGGGAGCAAACG
rnacentral:rRNA from 1 species